rnacentral:lncRNA from 1 species
GAGUUAUACAAAUCAGCCAUGAGACUAAAGGUACCUUCACUGUUAAUGGGCAAAGGCUAAAGCACUACUGGGGUGAUGACUUCUCCAUCCAAAAGUCCACCGUUUAACUCGGGACACCAAAGUAAAGCAGCUGCAGAAAAGUCGAGCUAUCGACUAUAAUCUAGCGCUAGGUGGGAGGCAACCCACUGUAUCCUUUUAAUUUAAUUUAUUUUUGCUUUCUGCAUCAGAUUAGGAAUUUUUUUUUAAUUUCAUUUUUUUAAAAAAAAAUUUAAUUUGGUCAUUGAUCCUCCAUACAUGUUAAAAGAGUCCAAGCACUGUCCACACGAGUCCCUAAGCAUCACACACGAGUUGGGGUCGAUCGGGGUUGUUUUUGGUAAUUGGGGGUGUAAUUCAAGCAUUUCGAGGCAAAAAUUUUUUUUUUUCAAAAAUUUGGUUUCGGGCACUAAGUUUAUGGCCUAUGCAUACCCUAAAAUGUUUAGAAAUGUAUCUUUGAAAAAGUUGGGUCAUUGAGAAGUCAGGCCGACCACUAACUUGAAAGCCAAAUUUUGAGGUGCAAUUUAAUCAAACUUGUGAUUUUGAGGGAAUUGAAUAUAUUUUCAAAGUUUUUUUUUUUAAAAUUCGUUUUUUUUUUUUUUUUUUUUAGCAUGAAAAAAAAAAUUGGCUAAUGCGGUCGCACUGUGCGACCGCACAAGCAGAGGCCGGGAAUUAAGUGGCCAAAGCCACUUGAACCAUGCGACCACAAAGCUUAAAGCCAUGCGGCCGCAUGGCAAAAAUCAGGCGUGGGUUUUUAACCCACACCCGGUUCCUUCAUUCUCACUCAAAUUUCUUCCCAAUUCUCUCAUGACCAAAACCAAUCUAGGGCACGAUUUCUACACUCGAUUGAGUUUGAGUCACAUACACUACACACGAAUACUAUUAUUGAAGUGCAAUAUCAUCUAAAGGAAAUCAUUUUUUGAACUCAAAUCAACCCUUACAAAUACAAGGUAAUUGUUCUUAAAUCCCUCUCGAUUCCGUCUUAGGGUUAGUCACGUUUGAAAUUUCAAUUUUGAGGUAUUGAGGGAGAUUGGGCUAGUUCAUGUAUGGGUGGAUUUGAUGUGAUUGUGUUGUGAGGACUAUGGAAUGAUUUGAAAAUUCAAUUCAUUAUAUUGGCAACACCUUCACAUUAUGCAUGCUAUAUGUUUGAUGAAAUGCCAUAGUGAAUAUUCUAUGUUUUAUGGUGCUUCUUGCAUUGCAUGUGAUUGGUGGAUGAAUUAAAAUACAUAUUGUGAUGCAUUCCUAUGUACAUUAACUAGAAAGGCACUUAUCUUAUAGUAAUAGAUGCUAGAUUGUUAAAUGUGCGUCAUUUUGGCAUAACUUAGACUCCAAUUGUUGAAAUUCUAGAGAUCCCAUACAAUAGCUUGCUACAUGUUUGAUCAAUUGUCAAUGUGAAAUGAGUUAUGCAUUUUAGUGAAUUUGCGCAUUGGAUAUACAAACUGGGAUGUGACUAACGUUGAUGCUCUCUUUGUUUGUUAAAGUGACGGGGUAUAACAGUUGAGGGGUUCGUGAAUAUGGUUGCAAUAUGUACUGUUUAGCUAGAGCUUGUUUACCCACUCAAAAAAAUUCCUUGAACUACACAGUAUACAUGCUAUGCAUUCACAUGAGUAAUAUAUGAAUGAGAGUGGGGUAAUGUGAUGAAUUCCCAUAACACAUGAAUUGGAAAUUAUAAGAACCAAACUUGACUAUACAAGGCACAUGAUUAGGUCACUGCACACGGCACCCUCCGUCCCCUACUUUGCAUCUUUAUUUAACACAUCAAACGACAUCCAGUUGGGUUGAAAUUUGAGUAUGUGCUACACUUCAAUGAAUACUUUGAUAUGCUCAGAAAUUGUCCGGGAAAAUUUUGAUAAUUCUCAAUGAUGUCAAGGGCCGAAAGUGCGCACUCGGUCAUGGUUCCAAAUUCUGAAAUAUUGCAUAGUUACACCGAGUUUUUCUCCAUUUUCAUAUUGGCGAAAUACUUGAAUUCAAUAAAACAUCAUAUCUUGACUAGUGCACACCAUGUUGCUAUACAUGCAUCUAGGAAAGUUUGGGGGAUUUGUACAAUGCAUAUUUUAUUUUCUCAUUUCUUGCCUAUUCUUUUCACAUCGAACUUAAUGAGUGUAAUCUUACAAACUUUGCAGGAUGCCUCCUAAAAGAACUUUGAACGGGAAAGAAAAAGCAAGCUCCUCUACCUGGACAGCCCGUACUCGAGAGCUCGCGAGAGAAGUUCAGCAAUUCUUAACUGCAACUACCGCGGCACGAUAUGAAAACAUUGUACGCCAUUGGACUUUACAUGCUGAAAGACCCGUUAAGCUUGAUGACUUCUCGGGUUUUGAGUUGAUCAAUUUAAUUCAGCUAUGUGGGUGGCAAAAGUUAGUGGAGAGACCACAUCCACUCUAUGAGACUUUAUGCCGAGAGUUCUUCGCCAAUUUCAACAGUGACAUUGACACGCCAGGCUCCGAGCAUUUCCAUCAGACUUGGUUGUGGGGAAAAUGGAUUAUGUUCUCUCUCGAGGUCAUUCAUGAUUACUACCAGCUUACCAUGGAGAAUGUGGUCCUCUCCCAAUUGACUUUCACUGGAAUGAAGUGGCUGAGGUUUUAAUGGGUCAGGAGAAAGCAUGGCCCCUCGAAACUACCGAGUGGCAUCAGAUUGAGCUUACCCCUUCCAUGGCCAUUCUAUGGCUCUUUAUGUGCCACAAUGUCGAGCCCAUAUUACACAGGACUACAUUUCUAGAUCAGACAGCAGGAUUCAUCUACCACUUGGCUCGAGGCAACAAAAUUGAUCUCGCUACUCAUAUAUACAAUCAACUACACUCAUUGGGAACUUGGAGAGAUCGCCGCUCCACUUUGAUAUUCCCGAGCCUCAUUAGUGGCAUAUGUGGGGCUGCGGGUGUUGCCCUCCUACCUGAGGAGUUACCUGAAAAACCCAGCCCCAUGAUCAAACGAACUACAUUUGACGCUCAGACAAGGGCUCGGGUUAAACACAGGGAAGAGCAAGAAAAUGAGCGACGUAGACAGCAUGCAGAACAAGGCCAAAUCCCUGCAGAUCAGGAACAUCCACGGGCUCCAGCACCACAAGCUAACGUGGAUAAUCAGUUGUUGAGACAGAUCUUCUCCACCACCGCGGGCAUUAGCCGAGACCUUCACAGUUUCUUUCAAGAUUUUGGCAACAUGAGGACUGAAUUGAGAAAUUUACAAAGAGAUAAUCACCUUGCGUUGAACUACAUCAGAGAUGCCAGGGAUCAUGCCACAGUCAUGCGAUGGGAGGUUGAUACCAUGAAUGGCCGGUUGAACUUGUAUGUUGGUCGGGUGGACGGCAUCCAAAUGAGGGUCAGUGAAACUUGGGAGACCAUGAGAGCUAUCCAGGCCGAGUAGACACAGCAGUCUACCUUGAUGCGGGAGAUGAAUGAGAUGAUGCGACAGCUCCUUGGACGACACCCUCCUCCACCAUAUGAUGGUACAGCAGGACCCAGUUUCCUACCACCUCAUCCAUUUUGAUUCAAGGGAAGUAGUAUUUACCACAUUUUGAUUUUCCUUUUUAUGUUGUCCGUAAAAUUUUGUCUUUAAUCUUCUGUUAAUUUUACAUUGAGGACAAUGUAGUAACAAAGUUUGGGGAGGUGACAUAAUUUUAUAAUUUUAACUAAGUAUCUGUGUUCAUCGGUAUCUGUAUUCCACAAUGUGUGCAUGAUAAAAAAAAAAUUAUACAUUUUAUUCAGUUUUGCUUUAAUUCUUUUCAUGCAUGCUUGUGUAGGCUUGAUAACCUUGCUAGCUAUGAUGUUAUAAUUGGACUAGUUUAAACUGCAAAAACUUUGGAUCUGAUGCAACUAGGCUAACUAACACUUGUUGAUGCAAAACUUGACAUUAUCUGUGCACACUAUUCAUGCUUGACAUGUUAGAUAAAUUACUAGAUUUUGAGCAUAAAAUAGGAAAAGAAUGAUAACCUUCUAUUGAAUUAAACCGUAAACUGCCUUAAGAUAGUUUGGUG